rnacentral:rRNA from 1 species
CGUAGGUGAACCAGCGGAGGGAUCAUUACCGAGUUUACAACUCCCAAACCCAAUGUGAACCAUACCAAACUGUUGCCUCGGCGGGGUCACGCCCCGGGUGCGUCGCAGCCCCGGAACCAGGCGCCCGCCGGAGGGACCAACCAAACUCUUUUCUGUAGUCCCCUCGCGGACGUUAUUUCUUACAGCUCUGAGCAAAAAUUCAAAAUGAAUCAAAACUUUCAACAACGGAUCUCUUGGUUCUGGCAUCGAUGAAGAACGCAGCGAAAUGCGAUAAGUAAUGUGAAUUGCAGAAUUCAGUGAAUCAUCGAAUCUUUGAACGCACAUUGCGCCCGCCAGUAUUCUGGCGGGCAUGCCUGUCCGAGCGUCAUUUCAACCCUCGAACCCCUCCGGGGGGUCGGCGUUGGGGACCUCGGGAGCCCCUAAGACGGGAUCCCGGCCCCGAAAUACAGUGGCGGUCUCGCCGCAGCCUCUCCUGCGCAGUAGUUUGCACAACUCGCACCGGGAGCGCGGCGCGUCCACGUCCGUAAAACACCCAACUUUCUGAAAUGUUGACCUCGGAUCAGGUAGGAAUACCCGCUGAACUUAAGCAUAUCAAUAAGCGGAGGAAAAGAAACCAACAGGGAUUG